CCAUCCAUCCAUCCAUCCAUCCAUCCAUCCAGUCAUAUGUUGAGCACCUAUCCUUGGCCAGGACAAUACCAUAUGGUGGGGACAGAUGUGACGCAGUGGCUCCUGCCUACAGAGCCAGCAGUAAAUCCUUUGUUUUCUACAACAGUAAGUUCCCAUGCUUCCUCACUUCUCAGUCCACAGCCUGAAACUCACUAUGUGAAUCGGUCUGACCCUGCAAUCACAGAGACCCACCUGCCUCUGCCUCCUGAGGGCUGAGGGUUGGGGUGAAAGGUGUGUGUCACCUCACCUGGGCUUUGCAUCUUUUUUUUCAACCAUCUUAUCCAAGACAUGUCAUGUUCCUCUGCAAGGAACAUCUCUGGCCAAAUGACUUACUAUGAGAAGCAUAAAAAAAUCCCAGCCUAAGAAUACUGUCCCCAUGUCACCAGUCCUCAAAACGCCCCCACCAGCACGGACUGAUUUAGAUGUGAAAGUAGUCCUAGAUCCAUCUUGUCCAACCCUCACCUAAAAAAAAUUUUUUUUUGAGGCAAAGGCUCAUGUAACCAACUAACCAUAAACCCCUGAUCCUCCUGCCUCCACCUCCUAACUGCCAGGAUUCCAUACGUGAACUACCAUAGCUGGUUUUUCACAGUACUGGGAAUAAAACCCUGGGCUUCAUGCGUACUAAGCAAACGCUCUAUCAACUGAGCCACAUCUCAAGUCUGAUCCCUUUUUUGAUAGAUGGGUAUCUGAGGGUCAGAGAGGGCACACCCUGCCCAAGGGUUGCCCUCACUCCAGGGUCCUUCCCUGCUUCAAGGAGUUGGCACCAGCUACUUCAUUGCCAUAUUCUGGUGUGGCUGUGUUAAUCCAACCUAACAGAUGCCGGGCCCAGAAGGGCAGGCAGCUCAGCUGUGUGCACACACAGCUGGCUCAGGCGCCUGCGAAGAGAAUGGAGUUCACGCUGCUGGGCCCACUAAAGGAUUCCCAGACGAAGAGGCCUGCAGCUCCUGCAGACGCAAGAUGCUCAGGCAGAUUUCACUGGCAACCCCAGCUGUAAUACCUCCACCAUCUGCAAUCAGCGGGCAGCCAGCGAAGUACAACAAGAUCUCUAUGAGCAUGAAAUCAAACGGAUGCGUCAUCAGGAACUCUGAAAGGUGAAGCAUCUCAUCGCUUGGAAAGAAAGAGGUGGGUGGUUGGGUGCGUCCGCUGUAGCUGAUUCAAACCCACUGGGCAACAAGGCCUUAAAUCAAAACCGGCUUGUGAGGGACGCCAGCCUGACCCCUUUUUUGGCAGAAAAUGUGGUCCCACGGCGCCCUCUGGUGUCCAUCUUUUUAGAUGGUUAGGAAGAAUAUCGGCUCUGGUUUACAUGCCCGGGGUUUCCUAACCUUGAUCAGGUGGGCAAAGUGCACUCUGGGCUAGUGACACUUUCGACAGGAAAUAUGCCGAGAGACCACUGAAGGCGGCCUCAUCACCGUCAUAGGAUGGCGACGGACCUGAUGAAACGGGAAAGUCCAGCCAUGGAGGUUGCAGUGCGUGAUUCGGGUGAGAAGGCCAGAAGAAGCCUGAGCUAAUGGGCCAAUCAGUUUAUAAUUAAUAUAGGCUUCUGUGUGAUUCUUCGGGACCUCACGACUGUGGGAACUGGGCAGGACAGAAACCCCAACAAGCAGGCCCUCAUGUUACAAUUUCCCUCUGUAUGCUGUGAUUACCAUUAAUGAAUAAAGAAAACUGGCUUGGCCUGAUAGGGUAGAACAGAGCUAGGUAGGGAAAACUAAACUGAAUGCUCGGAGAAGGAAGGCAGAGCCAGGGGGGAAGCCAUGGAGCCGCCAUCGGAGACAGACACGCUGGAACCUUGCCAGUAGGCCACGAGCCUCGUGGUAAAAUAUAAAAUAAUGGAAAUGGGUUAAUUCUAGGUGUAAGAGCUAGCUAGCAAUACACUUAAGCAAUUGGCCAAGUGGUGAUUUAAUUAAUAUAGUUUCUGUGUGGUUAUUUUGGGAGUCUUGGCAGCUGGGACACACUAGCAGCCUCAUUCAACACUGUGCCAUUGUAUGUUGAAAGUAUAGUGAUCUGCUUUUUGAUUUUGAUUUUACAGGGGAUUACAGUUAAGAGAUUGCCUUGAGUGUCAGAAGGGAUUUUGAACUUUGGAUUUUAGACAUUGUUGAGACUGUAAUCGACUUUGACUUUUGAAAUUGGACUGAAUGUACUUUGAAUCAUGAUAUUGUUAAAAAGUGUUUAGGUGCCAGUGAGUGGAAUGGCUCUCAAAGGGAGAGGCACUAGUAAAGGGUGUGGCCUGGCUGGAGUAGCAGUCUUGCUGGAGAAAGUGUUGGCUCUGAGGUCUUCUUUACUCAAGCUACACUCAGUGACUGUUGACUGCAAGAUACAGAACUCUCAGCUUCCUCUCCAGCAGCAUGUCUGCCUGCAUGCCACCAUGUCCCAUGAUGAUAAUGGACUAAACCUCUGAACUAUAAGCGAGCCACCACAAUUAAACGUUUUCCUUUGUAAGAGUUGCUGUGGUCAUGGUGUCUCUUCACAGCAAUAGAAACCCUAGUUAAGACACUUAGCUACAUCCCUGAUCAGCCUCCCUCCCUCCACAUCUGGGUUUCUUUGGAAUCCCACAUUAAGGUCAGGCCUCGUUUUAUGUUUAUCAGUCCCUCAGGUUUUUUUUUUCUUCAACUGACACCACUAAUGUGAUUAAAGUCUUUUUGCCUGA